CCCCUCUCAGGAUUGCAACUGGGGAGUUUCCAGUCCUCUACCAGUCUCGGCUAUGGAAGGGAGGGAGAGUCAAGCAGAGGCCUGACCAUUCCAUUCCUAGCUUGGGCAGUGGCUAAACAGUGGAAGGCAAUCUGCUACAAGU
rfam:Ornithorhynchus anatinus chromosome 4, whole genome shotgun sequence.